AACAAGGCGUACCUGCGGACCUGCGGAGGGAUCAUUAUUGAUUUUUAAUAGGAUGUGCUGGCUCUUCUGGGGCAUGUGCACUCCUAUCAAAAAACCAAUAUCCACCUGUGCACCUUUAGUAGGCAGGAAAAAACACCUUUAUUACCCAAAGGCUCUUUUCCUUGUCUAUGUUUUCUAUCACAAACACUUGAUCUAUUUGAAUGCUUAUACAACAAAUAAUAUUUGUAAAACAACUUUCAA
rnacentral:misc_RNA from 1 species